AUGGCCGCUGCCGCUACAGUCUCAAUGUUGGUCUCAAUCAUGUGGAAACAAUAAUAGAUCGGAUUCGAUGGAGAGAAAGGUUCUCAAGGACUUCAAGGUUGAAUUUAGCCCGAAAACUUCACAUCGACGCCAAUCUACGGUACGGCCUACGUAAGCUUAUUAGCCGUAUAGUGAGAUUUAUUCUUCAAGUCGAAAAAUCGACUUUAUUUUUUAAUUGCGGAAGCUAAUUAAAAUUGGAAAACGAGUAUUUUUAGAUUCUUAAUUCUUACACACAAUCUAUUGUGUCUUUCAAAAGAUAUCUUGAAGAAGAUUUCUAAAAAAAUUUGAAUUGUUCAUUCGAUCGAUUGAUCAUCCAUUACUUAAUAUUAAAGAAAUCUUGAAAUUUCAAUGAAAUCGUCUUAAAAAAUUACACUUUAACUUUUUAAAAGCGUUUUUCAAUUAUGUGGUUGGCCUGGUCGGGUGAAUUUUUUUAUUGGUCUCCAACCCUUGUCGGACGUGAGACCCAUCGAGACCUUGCUUAAGACCGGUCGAGAUCAUUGGUAUUGGUGGGUCUCGAAACUCUCGAAAUUUUGUAACUUUAUCAUCAUAAGGCUUAUGUUCCACAUCGGUCUUGGUGGGUCUCAGCCAGUCUCAAUGCUUUAUAUUUUUUAUCCUCUUGAAAAUAAAUAUUCCAGCGUUAAUCAUAUUUUGAUAUUUUAAUUUAUAAAGCAUAUUUUACAGCCUUGAGAGUGACUUUUGAUCUCCUUUGCGCAGUAUUCUUAUCAAUCCUCAUUAGUUUUCAAUUGUUGCAACGCUCUUAUUAAUUUUCUACUGUUGCGAACGUUUUAAAUCAUAUAACGGCUGAUUUCAUUUUAAAAACUUCAGAACUUGGCCGAUUUGAUGGUCCAGUGUACAUCAACUAGAAUCUGCCAUUUGGCUGCCAGAUGGUUGUAGCCUUCAUGAGAAAAUUCUGGACCUACACGCCAGUAAGACAAAGCACUUGUAUUAAACGACGUAAAUAUUGAAUGAAUUUAUUUACGCCUGCGUCAGUGAAUGCUGAAAUUUACACAUAAUACAGCAAUCAAAAUUUGGUAUUUAAAUUCCAAAAUCAUUUAUCAAAGCCUCGACAGCGACUUUUGAAAUUUCUCAAUAUAAUAUAUUUGCAAAUUCGUGCAGUGUUAUUUUUUCAAUCCUGCCAUUAUUUUUCCAUUGUUGCAAAGCCGUUUAUUACUUUUUGAAUUGUUUCACGUUCAAAGUUCUCGAAAGUCACGGUUUUUGAAUAAUUCUGCCCAUUUCAAAAUUAUGAAUAACUCGGUUCUCAAGCCUCCUCGAUUUCCGGACGACGCAGUGGAAGUUCUGCAAGAAGCCAGUGAUUUAGGCCGGAAGGCAGGCACAGCCCACAUUGAGGCCAAUUUACCUUACGGUCUCCAAGUUGCCGUGGCCCAGAAGAACAAGCUAGAUCUUCGACGCCCAUUCCAGCCGCAUGGAAAGGCUGGCUGUCGUCGAGGGAAGCAGCCGUCGGGGCAAAGGUCUAACAAUAAGUUACACCGGCCUCACCACAACAGAGGCUGCUCAAGUGCGUGCCGAUCCCCGGAAAGCGAAGCCAGCCUUGCUGGUUCAAUUUUGCUUGUCGAAUCGGCUUGACAUGUACGGCUGUGUCAGCCUGCCUGACCUGGCUGUGGUUGUGAACAGGGCCCUGAGGAAAGAAAAGAAUAGAGCUCGUCGGGAUGCGAUGGAGGCUACGGCUCUUGUGAGGGCAGCCGAGGCAAAGCAGCCGAAGGGUCUGAUGGACAAGAUCGUCUUGUGGAUUUGGGGCGGCCCUUAGGAGAAUUGCACACCGUCCUUAGCCACACUGAGGCGGACCAGUUGCAAGCUGAUCCCAAGGAAGCCUCUCUGGUUCAAUUUUGCUUGGCCAAUCAGCUGGACUUCUACGGCUGCAUAAGCCUACCUGACCUGGCUGUUGUUGUGGAACGGGCGCAGAGGAAAGAAAAGAAUAGAGCUCGUCGGGAUACAAUGGAGGCUACGGCUCUUGUGAGGGCAGCCGAGGCAAAGCAGCCGAAGGGUCUGAUGGACAAGAUUGUCACGUGGAUGUGGGGCGCCCCCAAGGAGCAGUGAGAUAACAAGCAGUCAAAUAAAAUCAUACAUUUUAAGUUUAAUUAUUUUUUGAACAAUUUAUUGACUCCAUUGUUAAUCAAAAACACAUUUACAAGUAUUCAAGUUUUUUGCUGUAAGCGGAUCAGUUUUGAAUUUUACAAAAUAGGCAGCCUAAUAUUGAGAUUUAUUCUGCAAGUUGGAAUCCACUAAUUUUUUUAAUUGUGGAAAUUAAUUAAAUUGAAAAUGUUUUGAGAUUCUUAUGCAAUCUUUUAUAUAUUUCAAGAUAUGUAUUGAUGUUCUUAUGCAAUCUUUUAUAUAUUUCAAGAUAUGUAUUGAUGUAUCUAGCUCAAGUUUUCUUAAAAGCUUUUUUAAUUGUUCAUUCAAUUGAAGUCCAAUAAAAACCAUUUGUUAUAAUUAUGCAAUUUAACUGUUAGACUUAAUAAUCUUAUGUGGAGGAAGGAUAUUUCCAAGAUUCUACAUUUUAUGGUGCAACAAGAGGAAGGUUUUACAUGCUAGACACUUUGACUUUUGAUUUGCUUUUGAUUAAAACUUUUAAUAUUUGCUAGGAGAGGCGUUCAUUGGCGUUGUUAAAUUUUCUACACUCUUUUUAUUAAUAAAGAAAUACACAUCAUAAAAUACUUACUUUUAUC